GAUGAAGAACGUAGCGAAAUGCGAUAAGUAAUGUGAAUUGCAGAAUUCAGUGAAUCAUCGAAUCUUUGAACGCACCUUGCGCUCUUUGGUAUUCCGAAGAGCAUGCCUUUUUGAGUGUCAUGAAAAUAUCAACCUUGACUUGGGUUUUGUGCUCUAGUCUCGGCUUGGAAUUGGGUGCUUGCCGCUUUUACGAGCGGCUCACCUUAAAUGUAUUAGCUGGAUCUGUCUUUGAGACUUGGUUUGACUUGGCGUAAUAAGUAUUUCGCUAAGGACAUUCUUCGGAGUGGCCUCGUUUCUAGGACGCUUGUCCGCUUUCCAAUACAAGUUCCACCUCGUGGACAUGACUUUUUAUUAUCUGGCCUCAAAUCAGGUAGGACUACCCGCUGAACUUAAGCAUAUCAAUAAGCGGAGGA
rnacentral:misc_RNA from 1 species